GUUGCGGGCGUUUUUCUUCUUAAACAAACCAUGGUUCUUCCCGUGAUUUUCUUAUUCAACUGAGAUGGUUUUUUUUUUUGUUCGAUUAGGAUUCCACAGGGAAGGAGUUGUAAUGCCUCAAAAAUCAGAACCAACAGAGUACACAUGCAGUGUUUGCUAAAAUGCCUAAAUGAAUUGAUUAGUUUUUAUGCUACUCUACUGCUGUUGCCGAUUGAGUGAGGGGUUUAAUGGGUUCUGGUGGUGUUAAAUUUUGGCAGAGAGUAUGCUCGAGAUUGCAGCCAAGAGUUCUGUGAGGAGAAUGAGUUCAGAUGAGUGGGUAUCUGUGGUGUUUAUGUAGCUGAUUGGUGGUUACGGUCAGUAAGGUAGGCGGCCAAAAUAUAUCUGUGAUCUGUGCUAUUUUGUCUUACUAUCUGAUGCUCUUUUAAAUGUAACAGAAAAUUGCGCAGGAAGACUUUCCAGAAGUAAAAGCAGAAUUUCAGAUAAUUUAAUGAUAUCUCAUAUUGCUUUGCAUAUCCUGAACUCUACUCCAGGUUAAACGUUUGCGAGUUCAAAUCACUUUCUGAUCCUUAUAAAUUUAUUACAUGUGCUUUGUUAAAUUUGAAGUUUCUGCCAUUUUGGUGUCGUAGUUUAUCGACUGGUGCCAAGCUAUAGGUGUAAACAAUCAUCAUAACUCAAAUUGUUUUCUUGAAGUUAAUGUAUCUGCAUUGAGUUGGUCAUGCAGAUGAUUGAGUAAGUACGAGGAAGAGAAAACAUAAGAGCACCUACAUUCUCAGGAGCAGAUGAUGUUAAUAAAUAAAAAUAUUUAGGAAACCCAACGGCCUACACCACCUAAUGGUUUCGUCAAAGUUAACUUACAUCUAGGUAUUGCCUCAUUUCUUCAUGACCAGACAUGGAAUUGGUACGAGGUUAAAGGAAAUAGAUUCGGGUCAGCUAGCACCAGAGGUCGAAUACACAACUCUAGAAAGGGUAUACAAUAGAUAACAGUACUUGAAAUUUCUGACAUUCACAUUUACAAGUUUUACUACAGGUUGGGGAGAAAGAAACUGACAUUUUACAUUUUUUUAUUGUUUUAGGCUACAGAAUUUGCUAAAGAGAUCUAUGUUUGUGGUCUUUUUCGAUUUCUUCUAUGGCAAAUGAGCAAGUUAUUAUUUUUAAAGAACAAUAAGCAGGUCUAUCUCUUAUGGCUAAUGAGCAGAUAUCACUUCGUUCUUUUUAAUGUGUACUUACUAUUAUUUUUUUGCCGGCAUUCAAUGAGAAGAAAUGGAGAAGUUUAAUAGUGAAAAGGCAUUUUUUUAGCAUAUGCCUAGAUACAGGAAAAGCAAGCCCUGAUUACCCACUUCCAGAUCUCUAGCUUGAUGAAUGAAGAUAAACUACACGACACAAAUCCACUUAAGUUUCAAGCUGCUGGUGGCUUUGGUUGUUGUGAUCAAUUCUCAAAGUAUUUGCUAAAUUUAAUAUGCAAGUUGUGAUCAAAUCUUAAGCGACAGGGCGAGGCGAAGCCGAGCCACACCAAAAAAGAAAUCCUAAGCAUUAUCGGGACGGAACGAGGCGAAGCCGAGCAACAUCAAAUCAAAAAUCCUAAACAUUCAUCGGGAUGGGGCGGGACAAAACAGUUUUUGGGUCCUCCUGGUGCGUAGCACGAGCAAAAAAUCUAGUUUGGAUUUGGUAAUCACAUGUCCAAAUUAGAACUAUAAAAUCGGUGAAAAAAGUUCGGAAGUUAAUUGGUAGGGCUAACGAAGAAGUAAAAGGAAGUGAUUUGGAAAUUCCUUUCAAGUUAUAAAGCAGAACUAGGACAUGAAAAUGGGUGGUUGAAGGCUAUAAUUAAAGGGACCGACGACUACACAGAUGUUGGUAACUUUCUUGGUUUCUUCUUAAAACUUACGAUGGUGCAGGUACUAUUUCACUUCUAUAUCACCAGCACAAUUAUUUGAUGUAUAAACGCAAAUGACAUUUAAAAAUUCACAUCU